rnacentral:rRNA from 1 species
GACGAACGCUGGCGGCGUGCUUAACACAUGCAAGUCGAACGGAAAGGCCCUUCGGGGUACUCGAGUGGCGAACGGGUGAGUAACACGUGGGUGAUCUGCCCUGCACUUUGGGAUAAGCCUGGGAAACUGGGUCUAAUACCGAAUAGGACCACGCGCUUCAUGGUGUGUGGUGGAAAGCUUUUGCGGUGUGGGAUGGGCCCGCGGCCUAUCAGCUUGUUGGUGGGGUAAUGGCCUACCAAGGCGACGACGGGUAGCCGGCCUGAGAGGGUGACCGGCCACACUGGGACUGAGAUACGGCCCAGACUCCUACGGGAGGCAGCAGUGGGGAAUAUUGCACAAUGGGCGCAAGCCUGAUGCAGCGACGCCGCGUGAGGGAUGACGGCCUUCGGGUUGUAAACCUCUUUCACCAGGGACGAAGCGUAAGUGACGGUACCCGGAGAAGAAGCACCGGCCAACUACGUG